UGAGUACUCCCUCCGUCCCACAAUUCUUGUCUUAGAUUUGUCUAGAUACCGAUGUAUCAAGUCACGUUUUAGUAUUAGAUACAUCCGUAUCUAGACAAAUCUAAGACAAGAAUUUUGGGACGGAGGGAGUAUUAA
rnacentral:pre_miRNA from 1 species